rnacentral:lncRNA from 1 species
GCCCCCGCCCCUGCCGUCUCGGGGAUUGGCAGCCCGCCCCGCGGCCCGCCUCCUGCCUAGCCUCGUCUGCUAUGUUUCCAUGGGCUGUGGACCCUUCUCUCCCGCGGAGGGCGCAGCCGCGGCUACUUGGUAGCGGGUUCGGGGCCCGGCCGCGCCUGCGGCGGCGAGAGCCAUCCUGGACCGACCUCGGGCCUGCGGAGGUUGUGUGCGGCGUCUGCGGGGUGCAGCGGCCUCAGUUCUGAGCGCAGAGGCUCGUGGGGAAUGAAGAUGUGCAGAUGCCACUACGACGAAUGACAAAGGUCACAAUGGACACCGGACCCCAACCUGGUGGAUCACUUCUUCCACUCUGACCUUGUCUGUGAACAAUGCUGGUCUCUUUAUGUGGCAAUAAAGUAUAUAAAGGGUUCCCACCUAAAGGGUCAGACGUUGUGGACCUGGAUACCUGGCACCUUCUCUCACCCCUUGAAAUGCUAGCCAGAUUCCAGACCUGGGCUUCUUCAAGCACCAAUUAGACGCACCCAAUGAGACAUCAGAGACCAUCCACUCAUGCAUCUCAAGACCAAUUCAAUAAGGACCCUUUUUCCAAGUUUAGGAACUUCAGAUCUAGAAGAAGCAAUUUCAAACAUCUCCAUAUUAGGUAAUGGAGCAAGGAUUCGCUGCCACUGGGCAGACCUUGGAAGCACGCCAAUCAGGAUUUACCAGAUGAGCCACUGUACUCCAAAACCCUCAUCUCCUGCGUACCCCGGCUGCCCAACAAGGAAGACCGUGUGCACUCAUUGGCAAACAAUGCUGCUUCUGUGUAAAUAAGACAGGAGAUGUAAUGUCUCUUGUGAACCAUGUAAAAGAACAUGUCAACAUUCUGUGUCAAAUGAACGAAGCACAGUCCUUUAAUUGGACUGGUCCGUUCUCGGGAGUGGGAGACUCGUUCAUUGGGAUAUGGGGCUGUGUGUUUGGAUUUGUUCUUUUCUGCUUUCUCAUCCUUGUUCGAAUCUGUGUCGUUGUUUCCUUUUGCAGAUCUCUUACCUCCCGACUUCUAACCCAAAUCUGUCCACAGCAAUCGACCCAGUUUUUUACCUGUGAAACUUCGUUUCAAACAGGGAAAUGAAGGGACUAACACCCAGGAUGGCAUAAAGACUAUUUUAAACUGACAACAGGUGAACAAACAGCAGCUGCAGAAAAAAGCCUUCCUGCAUUCCCUUUGAUGAGUAAAGCAGGCCUUUCUGAGAAUUCAGCUGCCAUAACCCUCUCCAAGGGGACCUCUGUAAGGGUGGAGCCUGACUUUGCAUCAGGACCUCCCAGGGAAUUGUGUAAAUACAUCCUAUCAGAACCUUCCAUACUUUCCCACUGCAGCCUUAACACCCUCCUCACCCAUCCCAUUAAGCUGUUGUAUAAAAUCUUAUCUCUGCACUUCAGAGAGCUACUCCUUAUAGCGUGCUCCUGCAUACAUAUAUAAUAAACUUUUCUCCUAUUAAUAUGUCUGUUAGCACACAGGCCCUCAACCACUUGAACCUAAGUUGGUAGAGGCAAAGUUUUCCUCCCAAUGACACUUUCUAGACUUCUCCGGAUACACUAGAGUGUUCAAACACAUAACGAAGUUUGGAAACCUUGACUUUGUUUGAAGUUGGAAGAAUCUACUGUACAUGUACACGGGCUUUCUGGGAAUCCUUUUAAAUUUGUCUCAAACAAUAAACUUUGGGUAGUCACCCUGUGUGUUUAAUAAGUGACUGAA